rnacentral:rRNA from 1 species
UACGGAGGGGGCUAGCGUUAUUCGGAAUUAUUGGGCGUAAAGGGCGUGUAGGCGGCUUCGUGUGUCCCAUGUGAAAGCCCUCGGCUCAACCGGGGAACUGCAUGGGAAACUGCGGAGCUUGAGUCCGGGAGAGGUGAGUGGAAUUCCCAGUGUAGCGGUGAAAUGCGUAGAUAUGACAUAGAACACCAAUUGCGAAGGCAGCUGGCUACACAUAUAUUGACACUGAUGCACGAAAGCGUGGGGAUCAAACAGG